rnacentral:rRNA from 1 species
GACGAACGCUGGCGGCGUGCUUAACACAUGCAAGUGGAGCGACGAACCGGGGCUUGCCCCGGGGCAGAGCCGCGAACGGGUGAGUAACACGUGGGUAACCCACCCCGAUGACCGGGACAACCCGAGGAAACUCGGGCUAAUACCGGAUGUGCUCCUUGACCUCGAGGUCAAGGCGUAAAGAUAGCUUCGGCCUUCGCAUCGGGACGGGCCCGCGGCCCAUUAGCUUGUUGGUGGGGUAAAGGCCUACCAAGGCGACGAUGGGGAGCUGGUCUGAGAGGACGAUCAGCCACACUGGGACUGAGACACGGCCCAGACUCCUACGGGAGGCAGCAGUGGGAAUCUUGCGCAAUGCGCGAAAGCGUGACGCAGCAACGCCGCGUGGGGAAG